rnacentral:rRNA from 1 species
UGCCAGCCGCCGCGGUAAUACGGAGGGUCCGAGCGUUAUCCGGAAUCAUUGGGCGUAAAGCGUAUGUAGGCGGAUCAAAAAGUUAGAUGUGAAAUCCCUGGGCUCAACCCAGGAACUGCAUUUAAAACUAGUGAUCUAGAAUUUGGUAGGGGCCAGUAGAAUUUCCAGUGUAGAGGUGAAAUUCGUAGAUAUUGGAAAGAAUACCAGUGGCGAAGGCGACUGGCUGGGCCAUUUUUGACGCUGAGAUACGAAAGCGUGGGUAGCAAACAGGAUUAGAUA